GCCAGGUGUGGUGGCUCACACCUGUAAUCCCAGCAUUUUGGGAGGCUGAGAUGGGCGGAUUACCUGAGGUCAGGAGUUUGAGACCAGCCUGACCAACGUGGUGAAACCCCAUCUCUA
rnacentral:SRP_RNA from 1 species